rnacentral:rRNA from 1 species
GGAAUAUUGCGCAAUGGGCGACAGCCUGACGCAGCGACGCCGCGUGGGGGAUGAAGGUUUUCGGAUUGUAAACCCCUUUUGUGAGGAAAGAUAAGGUAGGUAACUGCCUAGACGGUACCUCAAGAAAAAGCCACGGCUAACUUCGUGCCAGCAGCCGCGGUAAUAAGAAGGUGGCGAGCGUUGUUCGGAUUCGCUGGGCGUAAAGAGCACGUAGGCGGUUGGGUAAGCCUCCUGGGAAAUCUCUCGGCUUAACCGGGAAAGUUCGGGGGGAACUACUCAGCUAGAGGGCAGGAGAGGAGCGCGGAAUUCCCGGUGUAGCGGUGAAAUGCGUAGAUAUCGGGAAGAAGGCCGGUGGCGAAAGCGGCGCUCUGGAACGUACCUGACGCUGAGGUGCGAAAGCGUGGGGAGCAAAC